AACGAACGCUGGCGGCAUGCCUAACACAUGCAAGUCGAACGAGACCUUCGGGUCUAGUGGCGCACGGGUGCGUAACGCGUGGGAACCUGCCCUUAGGUUCGGAAUAACUCCCCGAAAGGGGUGCUAAUACCGGAUAAUGUUUUCGGACCAAAGAUUUAUCGCCCUUGGAUGGGCCCGCGUUGGAUUAGCUAGUUGGUAGGGUAAAAGCCUACCAAGGCGACGAUCCAUAGCUGGUCUGAGAGGAUGAUCAGCCACACUGGGACUGAGACACGGCCCAGACUCCUACGGGAGGCAGCAGUGGGGAAUAUUGGACAAUGGGCGAAAGCCUGAUCCAGCAAUGCCGCGUGAGUGAUGAAGGCCUUAGGGUUGUAAAGCUCUUUUACCCGGGAUGAUAAUGACAGUACCGGGAGAAUAAGCUCCGGCUAACUCCGUG
rnacentral:rRNA from 1 species